rnacentral:rRNA from 1 species
AGUGGCGAACGGGUGAGUAACACGUGGGCAAUCUGCCCUUCACUCUGGGACAAGCCCUGGAAACGGGGUCUAAUACCGGAUAAUACUUCCACUCUCCUGGGUGGAGGUUGAAAGCUCCGGCGGUGAAGGAUGAGCCCGCGGCCUAUCAGCUUGUUGGUGAGGUAAUGGCUCACCAAGGCGACGACGGGUAGCCGGCCUGAGAGGGCGACCGGCCACACUGGGACUGAGACACGGCCCAGACUCCUACGGGAGGCAGCAGUGGGGAAUAUUGCACAAUGGGCGCAAGCCUGAUGCAGCGACGCCGCGUGGGGGAUGACGGCCUUCGGGUUGUAAACCCCUUUCAGCAGGGAAGAAGCUUCACGGUGACGGUACCUGCAGAAGAAGCGCCGGCUAACUACGUGCCAGCAGCCGCGGUAAUACGUAGGGCGCAAGCGUUGUCCGGAAUUAUUGGGCGUAAAGAGCUCGUAGGCGGCUUGUCGCGUCGGUUGUGAAAGCCCGGGGCUUAACCCCGGGUCUGCAGUCGAUACGGGCAGGCUAGAGUUCGGUAGGGGAGAUCGGAAUUCCUGGUGUAGCGGUGAAAUGCGCAGAUAUCAGGAGGAACACCGGUGGCGAAGGCGGAUCUCCUGGGCCGAUACUGACGC